rnacentral:rRNA from 1 species
UACGGAGGGUGCAAGCGUUAAUCGGAAUUACUGGGCGUAAAGCGUGCGCAGGCGGUUUGUUAAGUCUGUUGUGAAAUCCCCGAGCUCAACUUGGGAAUCGCAAUGGAUACUGGCAGGCUGGAGUAUGGUAGAGGAAGGUGGAAUUCCCGGUGUAGCAGUGAAAUGCGUAGAGAUCGGGAGGAACACCAGUGGCGAAGGCGGCCUUCUGGACCAAUACUGACGCUCAUGCACGAAAGCGUGGGGAGCAAACAGG